GCCGAGACGCUGCGGGUCUUCGCUCAUGAAUCUCCGAGCUCUCUCUGCCCCCGCCGGCUGCUCGCGGAACCGUCACCCUCCAAUCACGCAGAGCCGACGGCGGCAGGAAGAAACCGCACCAUGCCCGGGAAGGAUCGUGAUUUACCCAAGAUAUUUUGGAGGGCAAUCACUGUGUCCUGGGUAGCAACCAUUUUGUUUAAACAUUGGUCUGGGUUCAGUGCUAAAAGGACCAUGCAGACUGCAGUGGGUGUUUUUGGUGGUAAAAAUUAUACUAAUGGAACAUUUCAUUACGUACACCUUCACUAACUGUGGGCUC